UACCAAAGGAUAACAGUA
rnacentral:tRNA from 1 species